UUGAAAAAGUUGAGUGAGGUAGAAAUUACCAUAUGUUCUCUUACUUAUUAUGGUGCAGAUGUAAAUAUCCAGACUUUAAAUCAAUUGGAGGAAAUUUAUGCAUACAAAAUCUUGACUCACUUAAAUCAUCAUUUAAACAUUCUGUAACUUUAACAGAUAUUGCUGUUUUCAGAUCCAUGUCAAAUGUUGAAACUGGCAAGAAACACACUAGUGUACAAAGGGAUGAUAAUUUCAGGAAUAGAGGUUGUAUUAAAUGGGAAUAUAUAGUUAAAUUAAAUAGGACUUAUUCUUCUUAUUAUUAUUACAGG
rnacentral:lncRNA from 1 species